GGAACUAUACUUUAAGUAAAAGGUUUAAUUUGCAUUUAAAAAAUAGGGCCAAGCCCUUUGUUCCA
rnacentral:tRNA from 1 species